CUGGUCGGACAUCAGGAGGUUAGUGCAAUGGCAUAAGCCAGCUUGACUGCGAGCGUGACGGCGCGAGCAGGUGCGAAAGCAGGUCAUAGUGAUCCGGUGGUUCUGAAUGGAAGGGCCAUCGCUCAACGGAUAAAAGGUACUCCGGGGAUAACAGGCUGAUACCGCCCAAGAGUUCAUAUCGACGGCGGUGUUUGGCACCUCGAUGUCGGCUCAUCACAUCCUGGGGCUGAAGUAGGUCCCAAGGGUAUGGCUGUUCGCCAUUUAAAGUGGUACGCGAGCUGGGUUUAGAACGUCGUGAGACAGUUCGGUCCCUAUCUGCCGUGGGCGCUGGAGAACUGAGGGGGGCUGCUCCUAGUACGAGAGGACCGGAGUGGACGCAUCACUGGUGUUCGGGUUGUCAUGCCAAUGGCACUGCCCGGUAGCUAAAUGCGGAAGAGAUAAGUGCUGAAAGCAUCUAAGCACGAAACUUGCC
rnacentral:rRNA from 1 species